UACGUAGGGUGCAAGCGUUGUCCGGAAUUAUUGGGCGUAAAGAGCUCGUAGGCGGUCUGUCGCGUCUGCUGUGAAAACUCAGGGCUUAACCCUGAGCUUGCAGUGGGUACGGGCAGACUAGAGUGCGGUAGGGGAGACUGGAAUUCCUGGUGUAGCGGUGAAAUGCGCAGAUAUCAGGAGGAACACCCAUGGCGAAGGCAGCUAACUGGGCAUUAUCUGACGCUGAGGCGCGAAAGCGUGGGUAGCAAACAGG
rnacentral:rRNA from 1 species